rnacentral:lncRNA from 1 species
UUAUCCACAGGUAAGGGUCCAACCCAGGGCCACAUGAAUGCUAUCCAAGAGCUCCACCACUGAGCUACACCCCCAGCCCUAUUUCCAUUUUAAAGAAGAGAAAAAUGGAGGCUCAGAGGUAAAGUGAUUGACUGGCUUAAGGUCACAAAGAAAAUGAAAAUGCUGAGGCUCACCAUCAAGCCUCUAGAUCCUUAGGUCUGUACUUCAAUGUACCCAAAGUCACAGAGCAGAAAUUGUUCUUAAAAUUUCAAAUUCAGUCAUCAGGACCUUCAAGGAUAUCAAAAUCUGUGGAUGCUCAAGUUGUUUGUAUAAAAGAGUGUAGUAUUUGCAUAUAAUCUACAUAUAUCCUCCUAUAUAUUUUAAAUCAUCUCACCAGGAGUGGUGGUGCACGUCUGUAAUCCAAGCCACUUGGGAGGCUGAGGGAGGACGCUCACCAGUUAGAGGCCAGCAACUUAGUAAGACCCUGUCUCAAAACAAAAAUAAAAAAAAUAAAAAAGGCUAGGAAUGUUGCUCAGUGGUUAAAAUGCACAUAAAAAUGCAGAUAAUAACCCUGGGUUCAAUCCCCGGUAUCCCUCCUCACACUGAAGAGACCUGGAAAUCUCUGGGUGACUUUUAAUACCUAAUACAAUGUAAAUAUUAGGUAAAUAGUUGCUAUCCUGCAUUGUUUAGGGAAUAAUAGCAAGAAAAAGUCUAUACAUAUUUAGUACAUACACAUUUGUUGCUGAACACUUUUUGAUCCAUGGUUGAUUGAAUCUGCAGAUGCCUAGCCCAUGGAUAUGAAGGGACAACUGUAGUCUAUUUUAGGAUUUAGUAGUGAGUGAAUAGAUUGGGAAGGAAGCCUACUGAAAAGAUGGUUGUCAUUUACCCCCGAGAGUCUGUGACUUUGACAUGGCUUACUAGAAUUGAAAUUAGAACAUGC